CCAGUUUGGGAAUAGGACAGCUUCUUCGUCGUUCCAAUCAAACCAGGAUGAAUCACUUUGUAAGAAGCUUGAUUUGGAUACAUAAAGUGGUGGAGAAUCACCAGGAAGAAGUUGAAUAAAUCUCAUAGGAGUUGGGAUGAAGAAGUUAUCCCACUUUCUAAUCAGGUGACUCCAGUUUCCCAGAUUGGGAAUAGAGCAGCUUCUUCGUCGUUCCAAUCAAACCAGGAUGAAUCACUUUGUAAGAAGCUUGAUUUGGAUACAUAAAGUGUUGCAGAAUCAGCAGGAAGUUGAAUAUAUCUCAUAAGAGUUGGGAUGAAGAAGUUAUCCCACUUUCAAUUCAGGUGAUUCCAGUUUCCCAGUUUGGGAAUA